GUUCAUAAUAAGAUGGAAAAGAUUCACCUUGGCUUUGCUGAAUUCCACUUAUUUUUUUACGAAGAAGAAUGAUACGAGAAGUUGGGAAAAACUUCUCCAGAAACGCCCUCUUCAUACUCUCCCAAGAUGUAACUGUACCGGGAGCCAACUCGUAUAACCAAUCCUUGGCUUUGUCCAUUAAAGAGAAUGGAAAAGCCUUCAUCUUUAAAAUACUUCCGUCAAUGGUAAUCGGAGUCAUACUUGAGCACACCACUUCAAAUUCCUUCAAAUGUUUGUUCGGAUCCUCCAUGGAAA
rnacentral:lncRNA from 1 species